rnacentral:rRNA from 1 species
UACGUAGGGUGCGAGCGUUAAUCGGAAUUACUGGGCGUAAAGCGUGCGCAGGCGGUUUUGCAAGCCGGAUGUGAAAUCCCCGGGCUCAACCUGGGAAUGGCAUUCGGGACUGCAAGGCUGGAGUGCGGCAGAGGGUCGCGGAAUUCCCGGUGUAGAGGUGAAAUUCGUAGAUAUUGGGAAGAACACCGGUGGCGAAGGCGGCUCACUGGCUCGUAUCUGACGCUCAGGCGCGACAGCGUGGGGAUCAAACAGG